UGAUAGAGGCGCACUUCACAUCAGUAAGGAUCAUCUCCGGUCAAUGGAUGAUCGUGAAAGGGUGACGUGCCGAGGGUUAGUCGCUUGUGUCCACAAGUCGCUAUCACCGGGACGUAGGAGAAUAUCCUGCGUACUGUCGUUCUACGGAACGGAGAGCUAUCGU
rnacentral:ncRNA from 1 species